AUCCAGUCGACAAGUCCCAAAUAGGACGAGACGUACGUCCUUGAU
rnacentral:hammerhead_ribozyme from 1 species